GCUGCCGUCGGGGUGGUCGGCUGUCUGGUGCUGAUGCUGGCGGUCGUAGCGUUUGCUGUGAACAGAAGAAGAGCGGACGGCCGGCUGCCUGAUGAGUCAUGCAACACCAUCAGCACCAACAACGUUGUGAGUGCAGACGACGUGGUCUACGCUGACAUAAUUCUCCCCGUCGGCUCCGACCGAGUGCUGGUCCAGCAGUGGGACGCCACAGAAUACGCCUGCAUCAGAUACCACUAGUGAGAUGCUGCUCGAAAUGUGAACCUCAUCGUUGAUUUUUAUGAUUUUGUUGCUUGCUUUGAAAGCUUUAUGCAACCAGGCAGAAACUCCCGUGGUCUGAUCUUCUAGCUCCGUCUGAGCUCCUGGGCAGGAGCCUUCUGACUGUUCCUGAACCUCACCGUGAGGAAGGCGGUGAUGGGCCCUAACAUCACAAAACUCCACCACUAGUCAGAGCUAGAAAGAGUAAAAACACAACAGAAACUUUCCAAAGGUCCUCGAGUGAACAUGUGA